CAGGUCCAGAAUUAUUCUACUGCUGAAAAGACUCUGGAGUACAAAAUUCUGUGUCUCCCUCUCUCAUCUGCAUUGUGUGAGAUGCUCAGAAAAUCCCACUGCUGCAAACAGAACUAAUCAGAAGCACAGGUGUGCAGAGAAAAGGCCAUAUGAGGGUGUAGCAAGAAGGUGACUGUCUACAAGUCAGGAAGAGAGCUCUUGCCAGGAGCCGAAUUUGCCAGCACCUUGAUCUUGGACUUCCAGCCUCCAGAACUGCUGCCCCCAUGGACUCUGGAAAGGCUCAUUCACUGUCGUGGUAUUCCGCACAGCAUUGCUUCUGAUCAAGGAAAUCACUUCACAGCCAAGGAAAUGUGGUAAUGGUCUCCUGCCAUGAAAUUAACCAUACAUUCCAUCACCUGGAAGCAGCUGGCUAGCUGAAAUGAAAGGGUGAACAGCUUCAUGAAGACUCAGUUGGAAUGCCAGUUGGGACACAACACACAAAAGAAUGGGAUUCUGUCUUAAGGGGUGUCUCUCCUUUGCUAAGAUACAUGAAUCUGGGAAUCAAGCAAUGGAAGUAGAGGUGCUCUUCUCUCCAUUGUCACUAGUAACCCAGUCACAGAAAGUUUGCUUCUUGUCCCAGCAUCUCUGAGCUCUGCUGCGUUGGAGAUGUUCCCACCGUUGGACACAACGACGGUUUCACUGAGUUGUAUGAUUGAGACUGCCACUGGGCUAUUUGGGGCUUAUUAUGCCACUAACCACUGGGCAGAAGAAGAGAUCACUCUGUUGGCUGGAGGGAUCAAUCCCAAUAACCGAGGGGAGAUUGAGUUGCUGCUGCCCAACAGGGAGUGAGGAUGACAUCUGGAACCCAGGGGAUUCCUUGGGUGACUCUAAAUAUUUCCAUGCCGCAUAGUGGAGGUUUAUAGAAAACUACAGACCUCUCCCUCACAUCCCCCACAAAAAAAGAAGAGAAACACUCAUUAGGAUUCAGACCACUUGCCAAUGAAGUUUCAAAUUGUCAUGUAAAUGACCUGUGGCAGUUCCGGCUGAAGGCAAGGGAAACACAGAAUGGCGGGUGGAAGAAGGAAGCCCGAGGUAUCACUUACAGCCUUGUGACCGGUGACAUAAAGGAGAGCGGAAAGUAGCUCUGCCUCUUUUCUCUUUGCUUAGAUGCAUAUAUCUUUCUGUGUAUCUUCUUCUCUCUUCUCCUUUCGUUAUGACUUCAUGUACAAAUUCACUCUCAUUUAGCCUUUAGGUGACACACUAUUCGGUGACACUAUGACUGAAUCAGAGGAGGGUACUGAACACAUCCAGGGAUGGGUACCAUGGCUACUCACCUCCUCAUGCGGGGAAGGGCUGAGUACAAUAGUUCAAAUGUACGCCAAAGAAAAGGACCAGUGUAGUACUUCGUAUCACCAAAUCUUCCCUUCUUUGAGCCGCUUGGUGAUUCUGGAGCCGGAUCUGUGUCCAACAGUGCACGGCGGCUCAAGGCACUUGCAGGUCAGCACAUUCCCUCUGGCAGCCUGUUCACGAGGCUUUGCAGUGGAGGACGUCCAUUGAGACACGUGAACAGCUUUCUGGGGCUACUGUAGGGAACAGGUUUCCAGCAAGUUCUGCUGGUGAGGCACCACGGCAACAUGUAUGCUAUUGACCUAGCCGUAGCCAAGACUUCCCUCGAAGAGUGCGGAUCCCAGCCCGCCUGGGGGUGUACUUGCUUUCUCAGGUGCUCUGGUUCAGCCCUAGAGCUAUUUCUCCUUCUCCUAUUUCUCUCUGUGCUUCCUGUACUUUUAAAAAGUUCUCUCUACAUCUCACUAGCCACUCCCUCAUUAGUCUUAUCCCUCCGUUAUGGCUUAAUAAUUCUAUUUUAUGAAAGUUUGCUCGUUUCAAAUAACUGUGGUUUCUCUCUCCUGAUUGGACCCAGAGGGAUAACACAGCAAGAGGAAGGGGCUUUUCUCUCUGGAUCCAUGGUCUUUUCCUCCUGGACCUACACCCUGGCUCCCCUUGGGAAGCUUCCCCACCAGCAGCACAUGGCAAAGCACAUUCUUUCUAGGAUGUUUCGUUGGUGGCCCAGGUGACUUCCCAGCCCGUCUUGCUGACACCCUUAGGGUGCUUCCCAGCAAGACACAUUCUAGCCAUUUUUGCUGGGACCGGGGCAAGCUGUGUCCUGCUCCAGCCUGUGGCCCUUGGGGAGCUCUUGACCUCCCAGCAGGCCUCCGCUGACCCUUGCAAUGAUGUCCAGAUCUCAGCCAUGGUGAGAGGAGGGCAAGCCUGUCCAACCAUGUUGCUUCCUUGGAUGAGCUCCCUCCGCCAAAGAAGCAGUGGCUGCCCCCUACACUGGCUGCUUCUGUGUUCUUCAGCAUUUUUUCUACCCUUCUUAGGAGUGAGUCCUGUGUUACUUAAUAAUUCUACAAAUUAAACUUUCUCUGUAUCCCAUAAGUCCUGUGGCUUCUGUCUGAAGGAUUCUGUGUGAUACAUUUACUAUGAAAUAUUGUAUCAGGCAGGGUUGUGUUGUAGAUAACCAAACGUCUAAACAGAUUUAAUAUGGAGAAUCGGGUGUUUAUGAAGAGUGGGAAGAAUACAGCCUAGACUGGAACAUGGCCAAGGCCCCCACGACCACACUGCAGACAGAGCUUGGCAGGGGAGCUGCUACCUUUGCCACUCAGGGCAUUGUGGGGUCAGGAAGCACAAACACAAGAUUGUUGGCUCCGGCAGUAGAAAAUCUGAGCAGCAGGAAGUUGUGUUCUGAACUUGUAGCUUCAGAACUACAUUGCACCUGGGCGACCCGGCAAAUCCACAUCCCACCUACUCCCGAAUUAACCUUUCAACUCCAGGUCUCCUGUGAGUGCAGCUGAUUUGCAGAUGCUUUGCAAUACAGUGUAUUAAUAGAAAAUUGGAGGUAGGGCGAGGCCAACAGAUCAGGAAAUGAUUGCCGCUGAAAGGAUAGCUUAUUUCUCACAGAUCCCAAGAGAAGUGCAUACCACGCAGGACCACAUGGGAAGCAUCGGGGUCGCCCAGGAGGCAGAGGGAGAGAGGGGAAAUGUGGAUAACAGUCUUUCCUGUCAUUUCUUCAGGAAAAAGUAGAUGAGGUGGAGUAAGAAGGCUUCAGAUUGGCUAGUUUGGAAAUUUUCUGCAAGCUCUGGGUCAUGGGAGCUGUCUCUGGUUGUCCAUCUGGCUGGGGUGAAAAGGGCAGGUGGACAGUGACUGGAAUGUGACAGCCCACAGAGGAGGUGGGUGGUUGGGGUGUGGGCUCCGAUUGGUUGGUUUAUAUCUGGAAAGUGCCCCCCACCAGGAAGACUCCUCCUGGCGUGUGUGGGGAAGGUGAGGGAGGCACUACAAGGGAAGCAGGAGGCCAAGACAAGUGGGCUCAAGCAGAUCACUGGGUUGUCCAGGCUAUGGUUCCAUCAGUCUGUGCCUGUAGGACAGAUGUGCAAGAGCCAAGUUUACGGAAGUGAGAAACAUGGCCAAUACACGAAGCUCAAACACCUGAGGUGGCUUAGCCACGAGGGAUCUGGGCAGUGUUUUGUAACUUUCCAGGCUUUGUGGUCAGGAAGACAAACCAGAAGAAGGUCGGAACUGAUGCUGAGCAAGCAAGCCUCCCAGCAAACACAGGCACAUCUCACGCUCCAUAAAUAUGCACAGAAAGAGAAAUGAAAAGUUGAGAGUAAAAUUUUAGACACUCUGAUGAUUUCUCCCUCCACCACAUGGUUCUCUUGCAGACCUCACUAAGGAGACAUUAAAACAAUAAUAAAAAAGCCACACAACAAUGCACUGAGGCAGGACAACCUCACAUGCUGCAAAGGGCCUCCACAGGCUUUAAAUCGUUUGAAUCCAAACACAACUUUGUGAAGUGGCCCAACCAGGUAUUAGCCCCAUGUCAGGAAACUGAGGCCCAGAGAGGGUAAGUUGCUCACCCACCAUUACAUGGUAAGUAGUAGCAUGCCUGAAGCUUGAGUUCUGAUGAUUUCUUGGCCAUGUACCAUGGAGUUUCAUGAAUGUUCUAGAAGAAAGCUGUGAUCUUGUAUCUGGGUUGUAAUAAUUAUGUAUAUCUUUGGUUUUCUUUUAGCUUAAGGCCAAAAACCAAGUAAAUGUUUAGGAAGAAAACUUCUUUUGAACUUUAGAUAACACAUUAUCUAAUGCUGCAGCGCCAUAAAGUUUAAUAGACUUAAAUCCCAUAGCUAACAUCAUCCUUAAUGGGGGAAAACCUGAAAGCUUUUCCCCUAAGGUCAGAAACGAGGCAAGAAUGUCCACUCUCACCACGUGUAUUCAGCAUAGAACUGCAAGUCCUAGCCACAGCAAUCAGAAAACAAAAAGAAAUAAAAUGCAUCCAAAUUAGUAAGGAAGAAGGAAAACUUUCUCUAUUUGCAGAUGACAUGGUACUCUAUAUAGAAAACCCUAAAGACGCCAUCCCAAAACUCCCUGGACAGAUACACAAAUUCAGUAAAGUCUCAGGAUUCAAAAAUCAAUCUACAGAAAUCUGUUGCAUUUCUAUACACCAAUAAUGAAGCAGCAGAAAGAGAAAUUAAGAAAACAAUCCAUCAGAAAGGAUGAAUACCCAACCUUUGUAUCAACAUGGAUGGGACUGGAAGAGAUUAUGCUGAGUGAAAUAAGCCAAGCAGAAAGAGACAAUUAUCAUAUGGUUUCACUUAUUUGAGGAGCCUAGGAAAAAACAUGGAGGACAUGGGGAGAUGGAGAGGAAAAGGGCGUUGGGGGAAAUUGGAGGGGGAGAGGAACUGUAAGAGACUGAGGACUCUGAAAAACAAUCUGAGGGUUUUGGAGGGGUGGGGAGUGGGAGGUUGGGUGAGCCUGGUAGUGAGUAUUAUGGAGGGUACGUAUUGCAUGGAACACUGGGUGUGGUACAUAAACAAUGAAUUCUGGUACACUGAAAAGAAAUUUAAAAAAAUAAAUAAAAAAGAAAACAGUCCAUUUAUAAUUCUAGUCCAAAUAAUAAGAUAUCUAUGAUAUCACCAAAGAGGUGAAAGAUCUGUACCCCAAAAAUCAUAAAACACUGGUAAAAGAAAUUGAAGACAACACAAAGAAAUGGAAAUACAUUCUGUGCUUAUGGGUUGGAAAACAAAUAUUGUUAAAAUAUCUAUACUAUGCAAAGCCAUCUAUAUAUUUAAUGUAAUCCCUAUCAAAUACCAAAAGCAUUUUUCACAGAACCAGAACAAACAAUCUUAAAAUUUGUAUGGAACUGCAAAAGACCUUAAAUAGUCAAAGUCAUCUGGAAAGAGAAAAGAAGAGCCGGAGGCAUCAAUUUCCAGACUUUGGGCUGUAUUACAAAGCUCUAGUAAUUAAAACAGGCACAGACUGGCACAAAAAUGGGCACAUAGAUCAAUAGAAUAGACAGAAAAUCCAGAUAUAAACCCAAAAUUAUAUAGCCAACUAAUAUUUGACAAAGAAGGCAAGAAUAUGCAGUAGGAAAAAGUCUAAUCAACAAUGGUUUUGGGAAAACUGGACAGCUACAUGCAAAAGAAUGAAACUGGACCACUUUCUUACACCAUACACAAAAAUAAAUUUAAAAUGGACUGAAGACUGAAAUGUGAGAUGUGAAACCAUAAAAAUCCUAGAAGAGAACAGAGGCAGUAACCUUUUUGACACUGGCCAUGGCAACUUCUUCCUAGAUAAUGUCUGCUGAGACAAGGGAAACAAAAGUAAAUACGAACUUUUUGGACUUCAUCAAAAUAAAAUGCUUCUGCACAGCAAAGGAAACAAUCAACAAAACUAAAAGGCAGUUUACUGAAUGGGAGAAAAUAUUUGCAAAUGAAAUAUCGGAUAAAGGGUUAGUAUCCAAAAUACAUUAAAAAGCCUAUACAACUCAACACACAAACCCCAAAUAAUCCAACUAAAAAUGAGCAGAAGACAUGAAUAAGCAUUUUUCCAAAGAAGACACACGCGAAGAGGGGCUCCUCAUCACUGAUGAUCAGGGAAAUGCAAAUCAAAACUAUAAUGAGAUCUCACCUCACACCUGUCAGAAUGGCUAAAAUCACCAAUGCAAGGAACAACCGGUGUUGGUUAGGAUGUGGAGAGAAAGGAACCCACUUUCACUGUUGCUGGAAAUGCAAACUGGUAUAGCCACUAUGGAAAACAGUAUGGAGGUUUCUCAAAAAGUCAAAAAUAAAACCGUGUUAUGAUCCAGCAAUUGAAAUAUUGGGUAUUUCCCCCAAAGAAUGCAUAAACACAAACUCAAAGGGAUACAUUCACCCCUAUGUUUACAGCAGUAUUAUUUACAACAGCCAAGAUCUGGAAGCAGCCCACGUGUCCAUCCACAGAUGAAUGGAUAAAAAAGAUGUCACACACACACACACACACACACACACACACACACACACACAAUGGAGUAGUAGUCAGCCAUAAAAAGAAUGAAAUCUUGCCAUUUGCAAGGACGCGGAUAGAGCUAGAGGGCAUUAUGCUAAGUGAAACAUGUCAGACAGGGAAAGACAAAUACCAUAUGACUUCGCUCAUAUGUGGAAUUUAAAAAGCAAAACAAAGAAGCAAAGGAGAAAAAAGAGAGAGAGAGACAAAGCAAGAAGGAGACUCUUAAUUAUAGACAACAAUCUGAUGGACUCCAGAGGGGAGGAGUAGGGGGAUGUGAAAUAGGUGAUGGGGAUUAAAGACAACACGUGUUGUGAGGUAUGGAAGUGUUGAAUCACUGUAUUGUACACCUGAAACUAAUAUGGCACUGGAGUUAACUGGAAUUAAAAUAAAACAUUGGAAAGAUGUUUAAUAGACUUGAAAGGGUGUGUGAAGACGAUCACUCCUGUAUUCUCACUUUACCUUUCCAAUAUUGACAGGCACAUCUCGAGAGGGCGGCCAUUUCUGAUUUGUGUGAGGAAGCGAGCACAGUUAUCGACGUGCACCACCGCAUACCAAUUCAGAGCUGUAAAAGCAGAGAGUGCAUAGUUCUGACGUUUCUUAAGUCAUAUGAGCACACUCUGAAAUAGAAAACGUGGAACACUUUGAGUUUUUGCUGGGAAACCUGUUUCUAAAUAAAUCAUGUUUUAAAAAAAAAAAUUCUCCUUUGAGAUUAAGAAAGAACCAGUGGAAAGAUACCCCAAGGGAACUCUGUGACUCAAGAUUGCAGACAAAUAAAUUACACCUCUGGUUCAGACUAAUUCUGUGUGUGCGCUUCUAAAAAAAUAGGCAAACAAAUGUGAAAAGUGACUUAGAGUUUAAUUGGUUUAAUGCAUUAAUCACUGCAUUGCGAAACCAGCGGGCUAAGCCAGCAAAUUUAAUUGUGGAAAGCGAAUCCAACUGAAGAUUCCAUUUAUCAAGGAACUAUUUACCUCCAUUUUCUCCAGAUUUCCAUUAUGGCAAUGAGUAGUCCUUCUUCAUUGGACGUCUUUGUGUCAUUAGAGAAACUAAGAUGCUUAGCUGACUGUCAUAGCACCUAAUUGGAAAAAAACUAUGUCGAUUAAGUGGGAAUCAGCUAAAAGGAUCACAGAUCAUCCGGUGGGGAAAAGCCACAGGGAUCCAUUUGGCUGUUGGUUUACUGUUCAUGUUUACACGGGGGAGUGCCAGGUCAGAACCCCCAAGAGAAAUGUUCUUUUAAAGGAAAGAGAGCCAACGGGACACUUUUUUUUUUCACCUCUGUGGUUAUUGGAGGAGUGGUUAGUGCCAAUAAAAUAUCACCUUAGAACCAAAUGGGCAGGAGAAUGCUGUACCUUUUAGCCCAUUAGAAAGGUAUUCUAUAGAAUACUAAUCUCUACAGUAUUCUAUAGAGAAAACAUGGAACCUUAAAAUACUUUUCUUUAGCUUCAAGGAGCCUAGAUUUUCAUUUGAGUCUACCUGGGAGAUUGAGAUUCACCACCUCCCUACAAAAAACGGGAAGCAAAAUAAUUUCAAGUGAUACCAGCUGGUGUCCUCUCCUUCCUUCCUUCCUCCCUGACCACUUCUAUGCUUCUCCAGGGGAGCACUCCAGAAUUUUAAUUAAGAACAUGAGCUUUUAAUUAAUCAAUGGAUGAAUAGAUAAAUAAAAGAUAUAUAUAUUUUUUCACACAACAGAAUAUUAUUCCAUCAUAAAAAAGAAGGAGAUCCUUCAUUUGCAGCAACACGGAUAGACCUAGAGGGCAUUGUGCUAAGUGAAAUAAGCCAGAUAGAAAAAGACAAAUCUUGGGCACCUGGGUGGCUCAGUGGGUUAACGCCUCUGCCUUCGGCUCAGGUCAUGAUUCCAGGGUCCUGGGAUCAAGCCCCACGUCAAGCUCUCUGCUCAGCAGGGAGCCUGUUU